rnacentral:misc_RNA from 1 species
GAUGAAGAACGCAGCGAAAUGCGAUAAGUAGUGUGAAUUGCAGAAUUCAGUGAAUCAUCGAAUCUUUGAACGCACAUUGCGCCCUUUGGUAUUCCUUAGGGCAUGCCUGUUCGAGCGUCAUUUAAACCUUCAAGCUCAGCUUGGUGAUGGGCGACUGUCCCCCCCCUCGCGGGGGGGACUCGCCUCAAAAACAUUGGCGGCCGGUACAUUGGCUUCGAGCGCAGCAGAAACGCGGUCUCGAGCCCGGUGGAUCGGCUCCCAUAAGCCUAUUCUUUUAUUUUGACCUCGGAUCAGGUAGGGAUACCCGCUGAACUUAAGCAUAUCAAUAAGCGGAGGA